UGAGUAAACAAGGCAGUCGCGGAAAGAAGACCGCAAGGUACUUUUCGAGGAAAGUCCGAGCUCCGCAGGGCAGGGUGCUGGGUAACGCCCAGUGAGGGUGACCUUAAGGCCAGUGCCACAGAAAUUAUACCGCCCGGCUUAUGGUCGGGUAAGGGUGCAACGGUGCGGUAAGAGCGCACCAGAAACCGGGAGACCGGUUUGCUAGGUAAACCCCACCCGGAGCAAGACCAAAUAGGAGGGGGACGAGGUUGCCCGCCGACUCCUCGGGUUAGGUCGCUGGAGGUACCAGGCAACUGGUAUCCAAGAUAGAUGGCUGCCGCUUUAUGGUGUUAGAACCACAAAGAACAGAACUCGGCUUAUUAGUUUGCUCGGUUU
rnacentral:RNase_P_RNA from 1 species